rnacentral:misc_RNA from 1 species
AACGCACAUUGCGCCCUUUGGUAUUCCGAAGGGCAUGCCUGUUCGAGCGUCAUUACACCACUCAAGCCUCGCUUGGUAUUGGACGCCGCGCCUUCGGGUCGCGCGUCUUAAUGUCUCCGGCUGAACGGUCCGUCUCCCAGCGUUGUGGUUUCAAUCAAAUCGCUAGCGAGUACGGAUGGUAGCGGCCGUCAAACUUCUUUCAAAGGUUGACCUCGGAUCAGGUAGGGAUACCCGCUGAACUUAA